rnacentral:lncRNA from 10 species
UCUUCUCAUGACAUCUAGCUAGAUGUCAUCUGCUUUGUAACAGAAGAUUUGAAUCAGACAACUGUACUCAACACUAGACAGUGUCGAGAUUAGUUCUGCAAAGAAAUAAGGCUUUGCUGUGCAUGGCAUCAACUGAGCUUUUAAAGAUUACAGAUGAGCAAGGGUUUCAAAAAAAAAAGUUAGAAAAAUCAAAAACAAAGCUUUAUAGCCACUUCAGAAAGCCUGGAUGUUUAACCUGUAAGGAAGUCUGUCAAAUCCUUGUGGAAACCAUAUAGAGAAAAGAUCAAUAGGAUACCUACUGGCUCCAUUAGCUUGAUGUAAAAGGGGGCGAGGGAAGCUGCUCUUCCACAAGAGAAGCUACAUUAUUCCAGGGAUUAUGCGGGAUCAGUUCACUUUGCAGAGAAGAAGAAGAGAAAAUGAAUGAAGAUUCUUGGUGGGCCAAGACUGCAGAGAAAGGGCUUGUCAGGUUGAGCUUUAAUUCCUUUCACUGGGAUUCAUCACUUCCUUAUAAAAUUUCAUUUUCUUGGUUGUUCAGUAGAAGAGUGACAAGAGGACACCACUGCUAUUCUCCAGAUUUUAGAGAAGAACAAUUGAACUUUUUUUUUUAACACAAUGAAGAUAACACCAACAUAUCUUGAACUUGGCAGAUGGAACUAGGCUACUGAUACUCUUCUAGUAAGGGGCAUGAAUGAAGCUGGAAACCAUCAUCCUCAUCAAAGUAGCACAGGAACAGAAAACCAAACACCGCUUUGGGUAUAUUUUUUAAGCAGCAACAAGAGAUUCAAUCACAAAUGAGUGGGAGAUGAUGAUUCCAAAGAUAAAAGAUAACCUAAUGUUCAAACUCCCAGAAAGGGGUGAAAUUCUGGGAGAAUUAACUUUGUGAAGGAGGGGACAAAGGGGAGCAAUAUUUUGUUCUGAGUAGGAUGAGAUACUAUUAACUUGGGAAAAGAAGUGAACAAGCAUGGUUGUAAGACAGGGAAUGCAAGAUUUUUCUGUUAAAUUAGGAAUUGAUAAUGAAAAAGAUAGAAAAAGAAUUGACGAUUUGAGAAAAGAAGAUACAGUUUAAAAUGACUUCUGCAGGUAUAUGGAAACUUGAAUAAAAAAUAAAUGAGAUAAAUUAGUUUUUUAAAUUAAGAUUACUCUACAGUAUCAAGGGUCCAACUUAGAUCACACAUUUACAUUGAACUUAAUCCACUUCUGUAAUUUUCUCCAACUCUAUCCAAAUUGCUUGUGAGCGGAAUUAGAGAAAAUUGAUCAUUUGGUUGAGCUAGGUUUGGGGAAUUAACUGACAAACUGAAAUAAAUGUGUCAGUUUGCUCGGGUUAGGAAAUGGAAAAUGAUAAGGAAGAUAGAGGUGAAAUAACUGAGCAUGGCAUCCAUUAUAGUUUGCAUAUGAAGUGAAACAAGAAACGGACUUAUAAAAUCAAAUUGGAUUAAGAAACUGAUGUUAAGUGUGAGGUCAAAAGCAAUGUUUAGUAAACAUGAGAGACAGAGAAUGGUAGCAAGCUGUAGUGUCAAGAAAAUUUCAAAAUAUUACAGAUAUCGAAUACUUUGGGAUGCUGAUAAAGUCCAUAAAUUAAAAAGGAAAGUGGAAUAAUGAAAAGGAAUUUGUAGAACAAUCUCUUGAAAACAUUGAAAGGCAGCCAAGAGAAUCCUCAUCCUGCCUGCUCUCUCAGGCUACAGAAUAAAGGGUGAAUGUUACCAUUCUGGAAUCAGACACAGCUAGGUUCAAAUCAUGACUGUUUCUCCUUAUGUAGGUAACCAUAGGCAAACUAGUUUUCUGUGCCUCACUUUUCUUAUCUGUAAAACAGGAAUGUGCCUGCUUCCUAAGUUUGCUGGGAAGAUUACAUGAGAUAAAAGAGUUUAGUACAGUGUAAGCUGAGAGCAGGUGGUUCAGUUGGACUCUGGAGAAGCACUGCUUGUGUUUGAAUCCCAGCUGUGCCACUUACUGGUUUUACAACCUUAGGCAAAUAUUAACCUCUCUAUGCUUCAGUUUUCUUGCAUGAAAAUUGGGAUAAUAAUAGUAACUAACUCAUAUGGUGGUUGUGAAGAUUAAGUGAACCACAUGAAAUUGCUGCUCUUCAAUCAUUUUUGACCUGUAAGAAUAGCAAUUUUAUGUAGUUCAACCUAAUAAUACAUGCACAUUGUUUAAGAUAGAGCAUGGCACAUAGGAAGUCAUCAACAAAAGUUAUCAUGAAAGGAUAGCUACUACUACUAUUACUACUAGUACUUGUACAACUAAUAAAAUAAAAAUUCUUAAUGUGGCAGAGUCAUAAGAGUUUCAGAAUUAACAAUGAGAAGACAGAUCUCAAUUAAGGCAAGGCAGUGAAGAGAAUAUAAUAAAAACCACCAGGAACCACAUAAACACAUUCCAUUAAAUUCUUUGUCAAUACAAUAAUGUUCUACAAUUCACACAGCCUGCCACUUUGUCUUGUUCAACUCAACAUCCCUGCCUGCCUGGGUAACUGUAACUUUCCCCCAGUUUAAUUAUCUCCCUUCAGUUUGUUUUCUGUAAUCCCUGUCACAUAAUUCUCUCAAAUUUAUCUUUCUAAAAGGCCAAUUUUUGUGUCCCCUUUUAUCCUUAGAAAAAUGAAUAAAAUUCAUGCUCCUCAUGUUUGUCUUCAAGAGCUGACGUGAUUUGGCCCAAAAUUAGCCCCAAAGCCUGUAUUCCCCAUAUACACCACCCAAGCCUACUGCUUCAGUUAAACCAGGCUACUCGUAGCUUUGCAAAUAUGAUGUACAUUCCCACCUUGUCCCCAUCUGACUGAAAUAUAUUUCCAGGCUCUUGGUUAGUGCCUAUUCAUAACCUCAAAUUCCAUUUCAAUUUCCCAUUGACUAGUAGACUAUUGAAAUUUCAGUUCCCCAUUUUACUCAUAUCUCUCUCACAUCUGAGCUGCCCAAGUGCUGUGCAAAGAUCUGUAACACUACUUUCAUUUGUAUUUGUGUGUGUAGGUGUGUAUUCUAUUUUCUCAUGAGUCUUCAGGCACCCUUAAAACAGAAAGCAUAUUUGAAACCUCUUUGUAUUCCUCAUUGAACAACCACAGUUGACUUGUAUUACAUUAUUAUAACAUUUAUAGAUGUUUACAACAAUUUUAGAGUGACAAAUAUUGGGAGAACUGAAAACUAAGAAGAUAAAUUUUUGAUACUCCCAUAAGUGAAAUACAUAUUCUCAAUUCAGAUGUGAAAAUUGUUCAUACAGCAAAAUUUAGAAGAAAACAAAGAAAAGUUUACUUCCUACCAUUCUUAGAUCUACACUAGUGUAAAGCCUGUUAGAUUGUCCUUACAGAUAGACGAGAAUCCAAAGAACAGAAUCCAAAGGACCUUAAUAAAUUCUAUUACCUAGAGUAUAAAUAAAUUUUAUUAUUUCGAAUGUAAAUAGAAGCUUAUAUUCUAUUACUUAGAAUAUAAAUAAAUUAUUUAAAAUAUGGAUAGAACCUUAUAUUCUAUUAUUACUUAGAAUAUAAGGCUACGCGUCUAUAAUUGACUGUGGAGGAAACAUCUUAGAAAGCAUGUAGAUUUUUUUCUAAUGAGCCCUGUGGUUAAGUUUGGAAAUACUUUAGCUAUAUGCAAAAUCAAUGGGAAAUUACCUCACUGGAAUUUUUUAAAAUUUAUAUGACUACAACUUUAAGAAUGAUUCCUAAAAUUUCAAGAUAAAUAAAAUUUUAUUGCUUAAAUCUUCUAUUUUGAAAAUGGGGCCCACUAAGAUUAAGUCUCAAGUUCAAAGUUAAGGCAUAGACUUCCAACUCUUUAUUCUAUAAUAGUAAUUUUGUAAGUCUAAAAAUUGGUGAAUUACUACAUAAGCAUUGUGUGUUCACAUAUAAAGUGAAAAAAUAGCAAAGGAGUUUUAAAAAAAAUUUAAUGAGAUCACUCUCUUCCUCUCCCUUGUAACUCAACUCAUACAUAGGUGAUUGCAUAGUGUACCAUAUACUUGUCUGCAUAUAUUGGUAGAAGAUAUGUUAAGCUGCUAUAACAAAGAUUCUCCAAUAAAAUAGUUUAAAUUAAAUAGAUAAUUUUCCCUUUUAUUCCAGUUUGAGUAGUCCAGGCUGGAGCAGUGAUUGUGCUACAAGUCAUCACUCAGAGGUCCAAAUUCCUCCCAUGUUCAUGCUCUGUUAUCUCAUAGGGUGUUUUCUCCCUUUGCAUAUUUGGACCUAACUCACAAUCAAGUUAGUGUUCCAGUUCAUGAUGAGGGAAAAGAGUGGAAACCCAGGGCUGGCAGAUUGUCUUCAGUUGGAAAUCACAAAAUUUGCAGACAUCUCUUCUGAUGAUAUCAGAAUGGUCCAAACUUAGUGAUAUGAUCAAAAUUAGCUGCAAGAAAAAUUGAAAAUGGAAACUAUCUGAGCAAUCAUGUGCUCCACUUAUACUUGGAUGAUUCUAGUAAUAAAAAAAAGGAUGGAAAAAGAAAAACCAAGGAACAAUUGAUAGGUUUUACCACAGGUGUUUACACACAUGUAUUCAUUUGUUUGUUAAUUUAUUCACUCGACAAUUCCACAAAUAAUCAAUGAGCAUCAUAUACACGGUAGAUACUGCCUGUGAUGCAAACUUGUCCCAGCCAUGAAACUGCUUAUAGUGUAAUGGAAAAAAUAUGAAAAUGUAAUGAGUCUAUGAUGACGGUAGUCAUAAUUGGUAAGAGAAUAUUAGGUCCAAACUUUAGUCCACAGAGGAUUCUUGAUGCCUGCAACACUAUAUGUAUUCAUUUAUCUCCUGUCUACAAAUAUUCACAUAAAAAUUAAGUAAAGUGAUUUUACUUACCCAAAUAAGAGCUUAUUACAAGAUAUUUGUAUUUGUAACCAAAUCCGGUUGGAAACAUUCUAGGAAGAAGUCUUAAUUCAUAAAUAUUUUGAGAAACUCUUUAGUUUUUGUCUUAAAUAUUUGUCAUAAAUAUUUAUUUAUUUGUCUUAAAUAUUUAGUACUAUUGAUGCAGGGUCUCAUAUAUACCACUUCAAAAUGACAUUUGUAGUCCCUUCCCCUAUACUGUCUUUAGGUAAGAGUUAAACACAGUAGAAGGGAGUGUCUCUUCUCCAUUCCCAUAUUCUUCAGGGUUGUGUUCUGAAAUGUGGGAUACUCAACUCAGUGCCAACCUAAACUAUUGCUGUGAGUUGUAAAGUAAGUAAGACAAGUCCCCAGUUGUACAUUUCACCCUAAAAUAAUUCAUUUUCUCCAAACAUUGUGAUCACUAUCUGCCAUCACCCCUCAAUCAAAAAGAAGACUUGCCUAUUUCUUUCACUAUCUUUUUUUUUUUUUUUGGUCUCUUUAGAUUCCAAAAUGACUUAAAUGUUUUCCAAAAGCAAUCAAACUGGCAAAGAAUUCUUCAGAAAUGAAGGCAUAAUUCUUCCGUCAGCAUGCUCCCCAAAUCAUUGAAAAUACCGAUGACUCUAUGGCACAGCACAGAGCAUUGCAACUAUCUUUAAAGGGCAAAGCUUCUCACUCUCACUCAUUCCCACCACCACCUUCUUGAAGAAACAGAAGCUGAAAGUUUCAAAUAUUGUUAUUUUUCUCACCCACCUCCCAAAAUAAGCACAUCGUUGUGCAUCAGGUUAUAGAAAGCCUCAUAUCCUCAAAAUGAAAUAGACAGGAAAUCUCUUGAUUCUCCCAUGAGGACACAUCAGAAUCAAGCACAAUAUAAAGAGCUUGGGUUGCUACUUGUGAUGUUGAUCAUCAGGUUAGUGCAGUAAAAUCCAACAUGGGAAACUUAUCAUAUAAUGAGUAAACUAGGACAGUGUUAAAGGAUAUUUAGCAAAGCAGUUCUAAUUAACUUUCAGCUAUUUCCAUUUGCUUUAUAUAUUACAUAUUAUAUAUAUAAUAUAUUUUAAGUCAGUAAUGCAUAAUGAAGACAGACGCAGUAGCUCAUGCCUGUAAUCUCAGCAGUUUGGGAGGCCACAGCACGAGGAUCACUUAAGCCCAAUAGUUUGAGACCAACCUGGGUGACACAGUGAGGCCCCCAUCUCUAAAAAAAAAAAAAAAAAGAAUGCAUAAUAACAUUUUAUAUGCUAGUGAUUACAAUUUUAGGCAUCAACUAUACCAUUAAUAUUUAUUGAGUACCUACUAUUUGCCAUAAAUCAGACAAAUACCUGGAAAUACAAUGGUUAAAAAGGAAGGCAUGCUUUUUUAAUUCAUAUAAUCAUUGUAAAAUGAGUCAGUUAUGGAAUGGUUUAUUGUUUAUUACAAAUAAUUAAUAGGGAGGAGAGAGGGAGCAUGAUGACAGGUUGAUCAACAGGUAUAAAGUUAUUAUCAUUAGAUAAGAGGAAUACAUUCUGAUGUAUUGCACAAUAGGGUGACUAUGGUUAACAGCAAAAUAUUGUAUAUUACAAAAUAGCUAGAAAAGAGGCUUAUGAAUGUUCUCAUCACAAAAAAAUGAUAAACACAUGAGGUGAUGGACACACUAAAUACUAUGAUUGGAUCAUUAUAUAACACAAAUAUGUAUGGAAACAUCAAAUUGUACCCCAUGGAUAAGUACAAUUACAAUAUGUCCAUUAGAAAAUAAAUAUAUUUUCAAAAAAAUCUUAAAAUGAUUAAUGUAUUCUCUACUCAAAAAAGUUUAUUCUUAUAAUAAUAACUAAAAUUAGUAUGCUCCUGAUGACAGCAGCUUUCUUAUUUUAUCUAACAGUUCUUCAUGCUUCAAGAUUCCUAAACUUGCUUCUUAUCAGCUCUAUUGAGCUAUAAUUUACUUACAAUAAAAUUCACCUAUUUCAAGUGUUAGAUGAGUUUUGACAAAUGUACAUGCCCCUGUAACCACCACCAUAAUCACUUUCAGUUUAUCUUAAAAGAACUCAUAUCUGGACUGCUUAAUUGAAGGGUACACAGUCAUGACUAUGGAGCACUUAGACAUCAGCACUCCCUCCUAAGGUGCUAAGUAGAGUCAUUAUGCAAAGUGAAUAACUCUAAGGGUGAGGAUAUCCUCAACAUCCUCACUCCUACUUGUGGGUUGAAAAUUAGGCAUAAGAAGGCCAAUUGCCAGAUAAUGCUGUUGCUCUGAGGUUUGUGUACAAACUGAAAGGUUGAAGUGUACCCUUUCAGCACCAGGAUUCAUUUCCAGCAGAUCCAUUCUCCUCUCUGUGGCUUACACCAGCCAAAGCAACAUUGCUACAAGCUCUUAGCAUUCUUCUUCACGCUCACCCCGUAGACAAGCAUAUUGUCCUGUCUGGAGUGUCCUCUUCACCGACACAUUCCAAGCUGCUUUGGCUUGGGAGAAUCUAAACUUGGGCCUGAUGACAGAUAACUGAAAUCUUUUACGAGAACUCCAAAAAGGAAAAAAAAAAAAAAAAGAGGAAAGGAACUAGAGCUGCACGUCAAGUCACACUGUGUUGUCAGCUACUUUAGCUGACUGAGAAAUACAAUUCUUUGGAAUGGAAGAAGUUUCAGUGAUAACCUUGUUGGGAAAUGAUAUCAAAGGACAAAGGUGUCAUUUUUAAAUGUGUAACUUAGUACUAUCAGCACUGUUAAUUUCUCUGGCCACUUUAACUCUUAAAACUGCUGCAGUGUGAGUGUGUGAGUAUCACUUAUGCACAAGACCAUUUUAUCAGUAAGGUACAAGAUGACAUAUUCAUAGAAUAAGCACAUUGCCUAUAUAGAAAAUAUGUAAUAUAUUGUUUAGGCUUCAGCAAUGUUGAGGUAAAAGUAUUUAUUAAAAGGACAUACUAGCUUCGUUGCCUUAAAUUAAGUAUUAAUCUUUGGUCCUCUUGGCCCUACCGUUUUCAUUUGAGAUGCCCAGUUUGUAUUUGGAGUUUAUAAUCACUUACAAGAUAUUUAGUGAUAGUUCUAAAACAAGCAGGUGAUUUUAAUUUAGUAACUGUUCAAUUUAGUAAUUUAGUAACUGUGACACAACUAGCAGCCUUAGUGGAAGUUUGAAAUAACGUACAAAGUUAAUGCUUAUGAACAGGUAAAAAAUGAAUGAUUAAUGCCUAAUAUAUCUAGAUAAUUGAUCAAAGGGGUGUGUGUGUGUGUGUAGAUUUUUAUCCAUCCAGUUGUUAACAUGUUUCUCUAUUUUUCUUUAUAUACUCAAAAUGUGUUUACUGCUUGGUGUUAUUUCUUUAAUAUCUGAAAAUUUAAGUGACAAAAUGAACUAUAUCAUGUAUCAAAAUAUUUUAAUGCUUGAUUUACAUUUCAAGGUUU